AACGUAGGACGCAAGCGUUAUCCGGAGUUACUGGGCGUAAAGCGCGGGCAGGCGGUCGGGCAAGUGGGGUGUGAAAUCUCUCAGCUUAACUGGGAGAGGCCAUUCCAAACUGCCUGACUGGAGGGCAGUAGAGGUAGGCGGAAUUCCGGGGUGGAGUGGGUGAAAUGCGUAGAGAUCCGGAGGAACACCAGAGGCGAAGGCGGCCUG
rnacentral:rRNA from 1 species